rnacentral:rRNA from 1 species
AGAGUUUGAUCAUGGCUCAGGACGAACGCUGACGGUGUGCUUUAGACAUGCAAGUCGAACGAGAAAGCCCUUCGGGGUGAGUACAGUGGCGAACGGGUGAGUAACACGUGGGUAAUCUGCCCCUCGCAGGGGGACAACCGGGGGAAACCCCGGCUAAUACCCCGUACGCUUGCGGAGCCGCAUGGCUCGGCAAGGAAACGGUAGCUUCGGCCAUCCGGCGAGGGAUGAGCCCGCGGUCCAUUAGCUAGUUGGUGGGGUAAAGGCCUACCAAGGCGACGAUGGAUAGCUGGUCUGAGAGGAUGAUCAGCCACACUGGGACUGAGACACGGCCCAGACUCCUACGGGAGGCAGCAGUCGGGAAUCUUGCGCAAUGGGCGAAAGCCUGACGCAGCAACACCGUGUGAGCGACGAAGGCCUUCGGGUCGUAAAGCUCUGUUGUUGGGGACGAAGGGCGAAGGGUUAAUAGCCCCUAGCUUGACGGUACCCUUCGAGGAAGCCCCGGCUAACUACGUGCCAGCAGCCGCGGUAAUACGUAGGGGGCGAGCGUUGUCCGGAAUUAUUGGGCGUAAAGAGCGUGUAGGCGGUUCGGUAAGUCUGCUGUGAAAUCCUGGGGCUCAACCCUGGGCGUGCAGCGGAUACUGCCGGGCUAGAGGGUGGUAGAGGCGAGUGGAAUUCCGAGUGUAGCGGUGAAAUGCGCAGAUAUUCGGAGGAACACCAGUAGCGAAGGCGGCUCGCUGGGCCACACCUGACGCUGAGACGCGAAAGCGUGGGGAGCGAACAGGAUUAGAUACCCCAGUAGUCC